UUUUGUGUCAUAAAUGUGAUCAGCAGCAGCAUUUUGUAAUGCCUUUCCACCAGCGAUUCUGCUGGAAAAAUGGGUUCUUCGAGCCUUUAGACCCAACACAAACUGUGUGUUCAGAUGGGAAUGUCAUUCACUGGAAGCCUGUUGUACCAGCACAUCCACCUAAUUCCUGCCCAAACUGCAGUGAGAGCAAGUUCACAACUUUAAGCUCCAAUAAUUUGUGCAUCUUUGUAACUUUAAGUGGUGCAAGUGCGGAUAUGUAGAUGAAGAACUUGGGAAAGCCAUGCACCAGUCUGGUUUUUAUUCAACUGGAAGAAAUAGUAGCACUUUCUACAGCAUAAAUCUAUUGGAUUCCUGGCAUUUUCUCAAGAGAAGCAGCCCUGGAACUUCGCU